UGCGAGGAGUUUUGGAUCAUUAUAGGGGUCUGAUAAAUCACACAUGCUGGUUCAAAGGAAAUCGUGAGCAACACUCCCACCCCCAACUUCAUAUUUCUCCAUUUUUGCUACCUGCCCUGCAGAGAUGGAAAAGACACCGAACCAGGACUCAAAAGGUGAUAACUUAAACUUUUGGACAUCUUUCCAGAGAUAUCUGACCCUAAAAACCUAAAAUAAAUUGUUCUUUUUCUAAAGGAUCCUCCAGUUGGCAAUUGUUUUCCAAUGUGAUGGCCCAAAACUUGAUUGGCUCAAAUUAAGACUCCUCGUUGAUUUAGAGCUUAAUGCAGUUCUCGCUCCGUCUGUGCAGAAAAAGCCGAAAACAGAAAAGAACAACUUGUCUUCCUCACCGUACAAGGUUAUUUAUGCAGCACUGAAGGUCUCCAUUGCCUCCUAAAGCCAUGUUUAUCUUAUUCAGCUCUCAGGAGAUCUGCCUCUGGUGAGUCUCCUGACUACAGCUAACCUCCCAGAGGCAUAUUAACAAGAUGGAAACAAGCAGAGCCGACUUUCCUGGGCAAUCCAUCUCUGGCUCUGGCAUCUUGGCAGAUGGGAAGGAAUUGGCACAUCAUACUUGUGCCACCAGCAUUGCACCCAUGGGGAUGCAAAUGUUGUGACUGUCAAACUUUGAAGGAUGGAUGGUUUGUAGUUAAGAGGAGAUGACAGAGAAUUGUUUUUUUGCACACAGAAAAAGCAAGACAAAAGAACAGGUAUUUUCCUUUCAGUCAACUCUUAUAAAGAAAUGUCUGCAUGAUGGGGUUUUUGUCUGCCAGUGCCCAAGGUCACCCCAUGAAAAGUAACAAAUCACUGUACCAUCAAUGUAAAAAGAUAUGGGCUUUGUGUGCCAAUGAAAAUAUCUCCUGGGCUUAUAAAAUCAUUUAAAACUAUGUUAUAAUGAAAAAUGCAGGAAAUCGAUAAGAUGAUACCCUGAAGGGUUUUGUCAUUUUAUUUGAAGAGAACAAUCAUGAGCAAAGAGUCUGCGUGAACUGUCUGACAUCUGAGACCUUGAAGCAGUGAAGACCUGGAUUAACCAACACCAAAAGCAAGACAUAUUUCAACUGUCAAACCCACGAUCUUUGAUUUUAUUUGAAUUUCCUACAGACACUCAAGAAAAUGUCUCAAAUAUUAAUACAUUUUCUGGGUGCUGCUGCUCUAGCAGUGUCCGCUAAUGCCCAAACACAGAGGUUAUGCCUCGAGCAGUUGGCACAGGUGAGCCUCCAGCCUGUGGCUCUUUAACCACAUGUCACUCUUUCUCUCUCUUAUCUUUGAAUUUUGAUUAUUUGUUGAGAAUAUGGUUGCACAGAGGUUGCUGUCUUGUAAGUCCAGACUGGACACCCUUUCAGUGAUUUCACACUGAUAAAAUGAAUAAACUAAAGCUAAACUUAAUGAAAUGGUUGACUGACCAGCCAGACCUGCAGUUAAAGUUGCUGGCCACUUAGAUUUACGGUUUAUCAACUGUGUGCAAUGUUAUCACUUCAACUCCUGUUAGCACAACAUUAGCUUUCUGGCUAACAGCUGAGCUGACGGGUUCAAUCAGCUAAUGGAUACGUUUUUUGUUGUUGUUGCUACUGUAUCUAUGGCCUACCCUCUUGACUGGAGUAGUAAAUAGUAAGUUUUAUCACAUAUCUUGUUGGAUUUUGGUUACAUAAUUGUUAGUCGGGCUCUUGGAUGAGGGGUUGUUGCUAAUGAGGGGUGUCUAGUUAUCAGGGAUAAAUGGACCCAGCAGAGAUAGCUGUCCAACAUGUUGAUUUUAAAAAAUGUAUAAUAAAGAAUAUGUAAACAAAUAGUAAUAAAGACAGCAACAAGGUUGUGAAAAAUCCAUUAUUAAUGACCAAUAAAAUCUGUUUCAUCAGGGAACCCAAUAAAUACCUAUUGUAAACCAUAUGAAGUUAAGCACUAGACUACCCUUUCUUUUAAAGAGUGAUUUUCUCUAUGCUGUUCUGAUGUGUCUGAGUUUGUAAACACACCUUCAGCUUUAUUUCUCACUGGAGUGGAAGGUGUUGCAGUAAUUAGCCUGCUGCUCAUCUGCUUCAGGAGCUACUAAUCAGCUUAACUCUUCCUCAAACAGACCCCCUACCGAGGGAGCCUUAGCAACAAUUUCCAUUCUUCUGUAAACUCAGCCCUUUGUGCGGUUGUUGUGUUAGUCAUACGCAGGCAGAAGUCUGUGCAUUAGAGAGAAAACGGAACAGAUCAAGAGAGCUCAAGUUCCUAGUGUGCAGGGUCAGUGCUGUAUGAACAGGACAAAAUAUCGAAUCAAAAUAAUGAACCUGCACAAUUCAUCUUGACCUGUUACAUCCUAUGCCACAGGAUGUAGACCCUCAUUUAUACCCAAAGUCUUUGUGAGACCACUCUUUAUUUAUAAGUAAAAGAAUGACAAAUGCUUUAAUACAUAUUGCUUUUGCCUGCAAUGAUUACCUGUAUAUUACACAUCUCUCAUUCAUCUCCUCUCAUAGAGCACAUGAUGAUACUGAUUUACAGCAGUCAGCAAAGCAUACCUUUGAUGUGUCUGCUUAUGUGAUGGUUACUCAACACUGUACAGUGUCCUACAGCUGGAGACGAGCAGGAAGGAGGAGACAUCUGUAGAUGAUAAGAAGGUAAAACCCCCUCUGUGGUCAUUAGCAUUUCUUCUGAUCUGUUACUGCUGUCAUCAUAAACUUGCUGAUAAAAGUGUGUCCUGUCUUUAACCCUAGACCAAAUUUCCCAUCAUCUCAAACAGAGUUGAGCCUCUAUAUGCCAGAAAUCACAUAACAUACUUUUAUUGGUAGUAGUAAACUAUACCAGUGACUAUCAUUUCCCAGUUUUUAGGGUAUUCUUAUUGAAUGUGUGUCUCAGUGGAUAUCUUGGUGUUUAAAUCUAUGAGUCUCUCUUUAAGCCUCAUUGUGAUUGGCUGGUGAGAAGACCAAAAUUGGAACUUGGUUUUAUUUUAGGAUAAAACCCUGCCUUUCUUGUCAGUCCAAAAAGACAGUUUUUUGAUAUUUUUGUGUCUGUGGACUAUGGACUGUGAUAUCUUGUACAUGCACCCUGUCCUCAGAGCUUAUGUGCUCUGGAAACUGUGUAUCAUCUAUCAUGGAGUACUGAGGGUUAUCACUUUCUAAAGCCCUCAGUCAUCACAGUUAAUGUCAUGAACAUGCUGGUUGGUUUCUCUUGUCUGCACAUGGAUUAAAAGCAUAUUUUUGUUUCCAAACCUCCAAUCCAAAUACCAGAUAUUUACCUCAUAACAACAGGUUUUGUCUCCCAGCGCUAACAUUUUAAUCACACCAUCAACAGGAAAAAGUAAGCACAUGAUCAGCACACAAGAUUUGUCUGAUGUGUUCUAGACUUCAAUUUUGCCAAUCAGAAUUAGUAAUUACAUUCAUGGGUUUUGAACAUAGACUGUAUAUAGUAUGGACAAUGUGGCUCUGCCUCCCGUCAUUGUGCAAAUUUGGAGCUAAAUCGCUCUUUGUAUUUCCGGUUUUUUCUCCAUUUCCUGAAACCUGCAUUUGCGCAGUAGCGUUCUGUAGGAGAGUCGCUGUGAUGACGCUCUGCUCAGACAGCGUUUUCCCCAGAUGCCCUAUGCAAUCUCUGCACACCCUCAGGUUGUAUCAGGUGUCAAUCAUAGAAAAGAUGAACCUCCUAAUAACUUUUAAAAAUGGAGCUGCACAGAAAAAAGAAGAAAAAAAGAGGACUUGAGUUCAAACCAGUCUUACAAUAACUACAUGUCAACCUCACAACCAGGAGGGAGUGAAAUUUAUAUUCUGUAUAACUAAUUUCUAAAGUUUGUCAACAGCUCUGUUAUGUUUGCCGGAGGAGGCGGGGUUUAUGACCUAUACUGCAGCCCGCCACCAGGGGGUGUUGUUCUCAUGGAGGCUUCACCCAGCGAGGAGGCAGAUGAUGUCUAUUCUAUAUACAGUCUAUGUUUUUGACCAAUCAGAAUCAAGUAUUUCACACAGCUGGGAGAUUAUUUAAAUAAUAUAUAAUGCAUAUUAUUAUUUAGUUAUCAAUAGAUACAUGUCUGAAGCUCAUAAACUUAUUUCUAUUUGUCUUUUGAAGGGACACAAUAAGUGUGAGAGGACAUGAGGACUGAAUAAUUAAUAGCUUAUUUAUAUUUUGGUGAUGUCAUGCCUCGUGGGUGAGAUUCAUAUUUAACCCACUCCUGUGACGGGCACUUUGUCUGAGACAUGCUGACCCGGGUUUAUAGCAGUAAGACGCCACUCAGCAGAAUGGACCUGCCUAAGGCAGCUUUUUGUGUUUUAAUUAAAGCCUCUUCUGGUCAUCUGAGGAGAGUAAAUAAUCAGAGUCAAUUGAGCUUCUCACCACACUCCACUAUCUGCCUAAUAGACUGAAGCCUUUCUCAGGGGGAGGGGUUGAGCUGCUUUUUGAGGGAAACUUAAAGUGAUCUUAUCUCACAUCUCCUGUUGGCUCAGUGUGUUUACAUGCACAGAUAAGUUGUGCUCAAUCAGGCAAUUUAAUUUUGUCCUUGUCCCAGUUUACAUGCUCUGGGAAAAAAUCAAAUUACUGACAGAAGCAUGUAAGCUGGAAACAUGCCCCCUUUCAGCUCAUUAUUAUCAGGACUUUCUCUCCGUUGACCAUCUUUAUUAGGUAUCAAAAUGAUUAACAAAAUCCAUCAGCAAGAAGCUAGCGAGUGUACAUAAUACAUUAAAAACACGGUCACUUUUAUAGCUCUGUAUCGUUUGUUUAAUUGAUGGGAAAGUUUGGUGUGUUUGUUAUUUCUUCAUCUGUUGAGGUUUCUCUGGAGAUAGAUGAUUUACUACCUCAAACAUCAUGGGCUCAAUCCAAAAUACACAAGUGUCUCAAUGUGAAUCACCUUUCUUGUGGCAGUCAUCUGCUCCUGUGGUUUCUUAUAGCAUUGCUUUGUAGAUAAUACCCAGCUCUUUCUGUCACAGUGUCAGUGCGUAUCUCUUCAUGCCUUGCUCUCUUAAUGGAUGAAGAAAAACCACCUCCAACUCAGCCUGUCUAAAAUCGAGUUUCCUGUCAUCCAAGCCAGGCCCUCUAUACAACCAAUGAUCAAUAUCCUGCUAGAAUCAGCUGAAGUCAUGCACACAAAGUCUGCCUGGAGCCUCCAUGUCAUGAUUGAUGACCAGCUAACCUCUGAGGUUCAUGUUGGCUUGAUUGCCCAGUCAACACUGAGCGUAUUAGACCCUAUCUGACAGAGCAUGCAAUACAGCUCUUGGCAAAGGUCCUCUAAUAUCACACAUUAAUUACUGCUGCCCCUUACAGACAAGCCUCCGUGCAUACACAUCCAAACCUCUGCAGAUUAUCCGCAAUGCAACAACGCAGUGCAACCCAAAACAGCAUGUUGCUUCUAGUUGUCUUGCAUCAGAUUAAAGGUUGAGCCAAAAAAAACAAAGCUAAAGGGAACGUUUUUAUUAUGUAUGUCUAAAAAAGAAUAGCUGAAACCCAUUGUGUAAAUAGUCACACCCCAGGCUGCAGGAUCGCCUGAUUCUUAAAGCAAAUGAGAGCAGAUACUCUGAUUGGAUUGUGUUAUCACUAGAAAACACUUUUGGAUAGCUUGUUCAACCUUUUGUACCCUCAAUCUCAGUUGGUACCAGAUUGUGUGUCUUGAAACUACCAACAAGUCACCUUAGAGAUCCUGCAGAGUCAGCGUGAGACUGAGGUCAAGAUUUACUCAGACAGACUAUCUGAGUCUCAGAACAGCAUCUGGAGUCCGAAGGCUGAACAGGACGCCAUGCGUCAUCAGAUCACACAGAAGCUGGGUUUCCUGCACUAGACUGACAAGGGAAAAAACAUGGAGCUGGACAGGCUGAGAACUGAGCUCACCCUUCACAGCCGAUAUAAUGCAGCUGUCUCCAGUGAACUUCAGAAAUACAAAGAGGAUUACUGGAGAAGGACAGGUCAGAUGGCAACACCAGGACCAAUCUCAUGGCAGAUGGUGACACCAGGACCGAGCUUGGGGCAGAACAUCCAAUGAGCAUCAGCCUUUGCUCCUCACAUCCAGCCCCACCUGCAACACAACCUGAAGCUGAGCCCAUGGAGAUGAGCAGAGCACCUGGACACAGUACUUCAAGGUCUCAACAGUGGUCUGUAUCGAGACAUACUCGAAAACCAAACGGCUCUAAAAGCAAGUGGAAGACAAGAUAGUCCUCCCUUCAUCCGUAUCUGCCCUUCCUAAACCCUACCCUCCUUUACCUCUUAAUCCAAACCCCUCCUCCUUCUGUUACCCCACCUCUCCUUCCCAAACCUCUCCUCUUCGUCCUCCAAACCCAUUCAAAUAUAUAUAAAAAAGUGUUUCUACCUCCACGGGUUUAUUUAUUCAUGUUUUCAGAUGUCUGAGAGACGAAACAACAAAAAUUAAGGUCAGUUCAUGAUUUCAAUAAUAAAAUGAUGAUUAAACACAUGCAAAUACAACAUAAAAGUAAUGUUAAUAUGCACAGAGUUCUAUGUUGGAUUCUGUAUGAUAAUAUCCAAGUCUACGUAUUGAAAGGGUCAAUGAGUGUCAAUUCAUUGUUGAAGCUGAUUAAACUAGAUCUCAGAUCUGAACUGAGUUCGAUGAAUAUAUCCAACCUCUUCAUUUAUUUAGUGUGGAGAGUCUACAGAAAUGGUCAGAUCCUACAUGUUGCUUAACCCUCAUGUUGGUGAAACUGUGAAGUUGUCCAAAUUUUUACCGUCAAAUACACAAUACAUAUUCCUUCAUACAACAGCAACCCUCUUCCUCUUCUUUUAAUCAAUAAAUCUUUAAGAAAUAGAAAGAUGGACAGAGGAGAGACUGAUAGAUGGAGGCUCAGAAAUGAUAAGUGCUGUUAUUAUCAUUAUCAUUAUUAUGAGUGUGCGAAAAACAAAGUGAACUUAACCAACAUGACACUUUGGUUAGGCACAAAUAGCAUGUGAACAAGUUUACGAGUAGAAUUAUAAAUCUGGUGUCAAUCAAAUACAUGAAAAGACUACAGUGUCUUAACACAGCUUUAAUGGGACCAUAAUGAAGCAUGUUGGGGUCUUUGCUUCUGCUCUCCCUGCCUCAAGUGCACACUACAGGUAGAUGUUGACUGUACUGUUGGUUUUACUUCAAAGAGACCCUUGUGUGAAGGGUUCAUUCAUUAUUCAAGAUAUCAUAUUGCACAGGGUGCAUUGGAAAAUUAAACUGCAGAUUUUUUCUAGGUCAUGUGAGAGGUCAUGGUGUGGAGAUACCGCUCCUGAAUUCACUCAAAACACACGCAUGAACACAGUGAACAGAUUUUCAUUCACAGACAUACAGAGUCUAUUUUCAUACACACCUGAUCAUCAAAAUACAAGCUUGGCCCCCGUAGACUCCUAUCCUCCUGCGGGACUGACACCAGUCUCUUUGUGCUCAUCAUUUCAGAAGGGUCUGCUCUUGUUCAUUUUUACACUUCUCUCUCAUAACAACUAGUUAAUAUAUGAUUUUAGCAACUUCCCAAUGAGUAAAGUUCAACAGUUUUUCAAAACCUUGCUGCUUGCUUGCAAAAACUGCACCUGCCUGGCUGGCCCUCGACUCCUUCUUACCUGCAAUGCUCCGCCAAUGAAAAGCACCUGGUGCUCCAAUCACAACAGGGACUACAAUCAUUUGUUAGACUCUUCUCCUCUGUUGGUUCCUGGAUGCCUUCAAUCUGCAGAGUCCUUUCCUAUCCUUAAGAAAAAAUCUGUAGACCCAAAAUAUAUGUUAAACAGCAAUAGCAAGACUAAAGAGGAUAAAAAGUUAAGCACAAUUAAAAAGUGCAAAACAGCAAAAGGAAAUGUGAGUAUUAAAUUACACAAAUAAGGAAAUUAACAUGAAAUCAAAGCAAUUCAAGCUGUGAUGGGAAAAUUGAGGAUAUCAAGAAACUCAGGCAAAGGAUGAUAGAGGCAAAUAAAUAGAUAAAUGCAUAAAUAGCUCUGAGCAAAAAAAGAAAAAAGAAAAAAAAUAGCUCUAAGAGGACAGAAUCACACUUCAUCUCCACAGGGAAGCUUUGUCAGAGUUGAAGGGCCCAGAUCGUAGAGGUCUCCAGUCUGAGUCUAAAUCUAAGUCUUUUCUGUGGCUUCUGUGCUUUACUCAUACACCAAGAGUUUGAAAAGGAAGCCUCGGUAGACAGACAUCAUUGCUGAACCUCUUUCUUUUACUGCCCUCUUUUUAAUAUGUUACCAGCCACUCUCCUCUUUUGCUUACAUACACAUGCAACUUUUGUGUUUUUUUUUUUUUUCCUUUUUUUUGUCAUGAAAUUCUUGGUGUCUUUGAAGAUGCUCCUCCUUUCACUUUAAAUGUCCAACCCCCUCGAGGAAUAAAGUCAGGGGUUCAAAGCUGAGCUGUUCAGCUGUAUCAGAACAACUUACAGCUGGCAACAGAGAUAAAACUUAGGAUGCAGGGGAACUGGCACCCAGUCUUCAGUGACAGUGGUGGCUUGACGCCUGGUGUCCCAGGGUCUCUCUUUGUUCCUCUAGCGGGAACACUUCCUCCAUGCCAAGGGGACCACUGAGGGGGAACAAAAAAAUUAUGAGUGUGAAAUGUUUGGAUGUAUGAGGCAAAUCAGGAGGACAACGUGUGGAUCAAUCUAUGGGUUUGAACUCAUUUACAUUUCCUGUUAGUUUGUUAUAUUUUUGCAAGAAAAGCAAGCAUGAUUAUGGUUGGAUUGUACUUUGACCUUUUCAAAAACAUCCACCAAAUGUAGAUGAAAUAAUGAGCGCUGUGUAAAACUGCCUCUGGUUUAAAUUAAGCAUAACUCACAGAGAGCAGUGGCCUCAUUUAACUGAGACUGUCAGCAGCAGAAAGGUUGUUUGAAAGGUUACGAGUCUUAUUAAUAAUACCUGGAAAUCACAACAGGUCUUAACAAUCCACUUAUUUAAAAAAUGAAGUCUUACUUAUAAAGAGAAAGUAGAUGUGGAUAAAUUACUUUCUCCAAUACAUUAUAUCUUUAAAUUCAGAAGUUUUAACAGUUCACAGUAAGAUUCUCCACCCCUGCAUAAAGUUUGAUGCAAACUUUUGGGUUUACUCUCAUCUAUAUUUCAAUAGUUUAUAACACUAUUAUAAAAAAAAACUUUAUUUCUGUAUAAAAACAGACAGGUGUCAACAUAUCUUGUUGGUGUACACAUCGAGCUGUCAGUGCAGUAAAAGUCGAUCCUGUUUCAUUGUCAGUGUGUGUCAGCGCUGUUGACAGGCUGUCACUUUUUCCUGGAUGCUGUCAUUUAAGACAGAUUAUUUAGAGCUACCUGUGUAAUGUAUUUGCAGUCACUCAUAAUGUUUUAUUAUUUCUUUAACACUCUGCAUUGUGUCAAAAGAGAGUUGCAUCUCCCCCUACUGUUUUGACUGUAGAGCACUACUGCAGGAUCUAAUCACAGGAGACAAUGUGUGGUUGUAUUUGUAAAGUGUAGGUGUUGCUUUUAAGUGUGCUUCAAAAGAUAUCACCUCUGACUUUUUGAACUGACCCUACUGUCUGGAAUGGAAAUAUACUGAGUUAACUCUGACUCUGAGGGUCAUGUAAAAGCUAAUAGCUACUCAUCCCAGUCUCAUGUAAGAAAAAAAAGUAAAUGAUUCCAACAUGGUUUUUGCUUGACAUUAAAUUUGGCACUCUUACUACAGUGCAAACAUUGAAAUGACUCACUGAAAAAGCAGAGAAAUAAUCACUGUAACAGAUUGUAACAUGAUUGAGAAUACAUACAUUACGCUCACUCUUGAUUGACAAAACUGUGCCUAAUUUUUCUACCUUGGGCAUAUUUUUGGAUCAUAUCAAUUCCUCUUGGUGCCAUUAAACAAUAUAUAAAAAUCAAAAGUCUGAGUCUGUUUUGGCCCCAAAGUUGUUUCAUCUGUAUAUCAGUGAAAUAUGCCAUGAUUCCAGCAAUUUGCAAUUUCCUUUGCUUGCUAAAGACACACAUAUUUUUUUUGUAUUGGGGAUGUGAAAUUGACUACAGAUACUAUAGCAUGCAAAAUGGUUCAGCUGAGGAGGUGGUCUGAUUAAAAAGUAAAUUAUCCUUAAAGUGGAAAAAAAAAACAACUAAAUGCUUCCUUUUUAAAAACUGAAAAUAUCAGACAAUUAUCUGAGUGUGGUUGUUUAUAAUGUUCGCACUGAAAGAAUGUCUGAAGCGACCGCUAAAAUACUGCUCAAAUGGUUUUCAGUCGAACAAAAAUGCAACAGAAAUUAUGGGCUUAUUGAAUAAAGCUGAUUGUUUCUGUCUUUUGAAUCCCAUUGAAUGCUAUUUGUGGAGAGAAAAUCAACAGGUUCACCAUGUGAUUUUGUGUUGCGAGUGAUUUAUGUUGUUAUUUAGAGCGGGCAGGGAUGUUUUAUUUGACCUGCACCUGUUUGUUCAUGGACAGAGUAGGCCUAUAAUUUUGAAAAGAACUAUGUAAUGUGAGUUGUGUUAUCAAACACCACAGUGGAUAAACAAACUGAAUAUGAAGACUAAUAUAGAUAAAAUAUAAAAGCAGGUCCCCGCUUUGACUCUGCGCGCUUGGAUGUCUUCAUGGUUCUGAUCCUCUUUAUAAUUAAAAAAAUAAAAUCUAAUGUUUAACUGUAGACACUGUUUGAAAGACAAUAAAACAACCAGAACGCUGAGAGAUCAGUGGAUAAUUGCAUAACUAUCUUCCAAACAUAACUACACUCUGCCCUGUGAUAUUUACAAAGAAAAAACCCUUCACUUAACAUUUCAGAUUACAUUUAUCUAUCAGUAUCUCAAAGCAUUUACUUUUUUGUCUAGAAAUUUGACUUUUCAAUAAUGGAUACACUUUUUUUUCUCUGUGGGUUUUGUAUUCUCCAUAUGAUUCUUGUCUUUGAAAGCAAGACAGGACAGAAAAGCAUACUUUGGAAACCAACAUUUUCUUUGUAGCAGGUAUUUUAUAAGUGCAAUUCGAUCUGACAGAAAGGCUCAGGUAUGUCUGAGCUCCAGACCUUUUCACUAAGACUGAACCUGACCAGCCUUCAGAGGAAACUCAUUAUAGCUGCUUGCAUCUGUGGUCUCAUUCUUUUGGUCACUAUAAGCUCAUGACCAGGGCCAAGGAUGGGAAAGAUCAGCUGUCAGAGCCCCAUCAUCAGACUCAGCUCGCUCUUCACCAUAAUGGUUCAGACCACUCUCCGCAGUUCUUGUGAUGCUUACAUGCCUGUCAAUUUCACACUCCACUUUACUUUCAUAAACAAGACCUCCAAUUAUUUGAACUACUUCUCUUGGGGCCUCCUUUAGAUGUCCCCCAUCCAGACGGAGCACUUCAAAUACUAUGGCUUUUAACUUGGAGCUGCAGACCCUCUUCCCACUGGUCACCCAAUCUGAAACAAACCUAAAGAAGCCAACGGAAUCACAUUAUCUGUAAAAAGCAGAGAUGAUAUUCUGAGGCCCCCAAACUGGAGUUCCUCCUUUCCCCAGCAGUGCCUUGAGAUCCUCUCCACAAUAUCUCAACCAGAAUUUGGGAAGGGGAAAGGCCACUGGAAACUUGACUUUUUCCAGCACCUCACACCAGGUCCCAGUGAACACAUAACACAUGCAGGGAUCAGGGUUGCCCACUGACAAGAAAAGAUUUGCUCCAACUCCCUGUACCUGCCGUUCAACAACUGGACGAUUCCUUUCCAGCACAAUAAUUUUCACUGGAAGGAUGAUAGUGUGACAACACACUAUUUGGAGCACACUUUCUGGUCCCUCUAACCUCAUGGAAACCACUACCCUGGUUAGCUACACUGUCCCAGACCUCCACGACCUCUAUUAGACUCAAGCUAAGACACCCCAACAACUGCCAGAACUUUCAGCAUCUCAGGAUGAAUCUCAUUUUGCAAUUGAAGAGCCUUCUGACCAACUCAGCAACCCCUGACAGGAACAAGGUCAAGUUUGAAGGACAGUUUAAGUCUGCCUCCUUCUUGGAGGACAGGCUGGUUGGGUCCAAAGUUACAAAAUAAAUACAAAAUCAUGAAAGAAGGGAGAGGAAAAGUAUUAGUAUGGGGCCAAAAAACGCAAACACCACACAUACACCAAUGUCAAACUAUUACUAAUGUUAUUCAUAAUAAACUAAUGAAGCAUUUGACUAUUUUUAGGGUAAGCAGUUUUCAUAUUUACUUAUAUUGAAAUAAAUGUUAUAUUAGUACUUUUUAUGAUCAGGGGACGUCUCAUAGCGUUAUCUUCAGAGGUGUAGGAAAUUGGACUAAUAUUUUCAGGACAGCGUC